rnacentral:rRNA from 1 species
UACGAAGGGGGCUAGCGUUGCUCGGAAUUACUGGGCGUAAAGCGUGCGCAGGCGGUUUGGUAAGACAGAUGUGAAAUCCCCGGGCUUAACCUGGGAAUUGCAUUUGUGACUGCCCGGCUAGAGUGUGUCAGAGGGGGGUAGAAUUCCGACGUGUAGCAGUGAAAUGCGUAGAUAUGUGGAGGAAUACCGAUGGCGAAGGCAGCCCCCUGGGAUAACACUGACGCUCAUGCACGAAAGCGUGGGGAGCAAACAGG